rnacentral:rRNA from 1 species
GCUUGCUAGGUGGAUUAGUGGCGAACGGGUGAGUAAUACGUGAGUGACCUACCUUUGACUCUGGGAUAAGCCUGGGAAACUGGGUCUAAUACCGGAUACGACCAAUCUCCGCAUGGGGUGUUGGUGGAAAGCGUUAUGGAGUGGUUUUAGAUGGGCUCACGGCCUAUCAGCUUGUUGGUGAGGUAAUGGCUUACCAAGGCGACGACGGGUAGCCGGCCUGAGAGGGUGACCGGCCACACUGGGACUGAGACACGGCCCAGACUCCUACGGGAGGCAGCAGUGGGGAAUAUUGCACAAUGGGCGCAAGCCUGAUGCAGCGACGCCGCGUGAGGGAUGACGGCCUUCGGGUUGUAAACCUCUGUUAGCAUCGAAGAAGCGAAAGUGACGGUAGGUGCAGAGAAAGCGCCGGCUAACUACGUGCCAGCAGCCGCGGUAAUACGUAGGGCGCGAGCGUUGUCCGGAAUUAUUGGGCGUAAAGAGCUUGUAGGCGGUUGGUCGCGUCUGCUGUGAAAGGCUGGGGCUUAACCCUGGUUUUGCAGUGGGUACGGGCUAACUAGAGUGCAGUAGGGGAGACUGGAAUUCCUGGUGUAGCGGUGGAAUGCGCAGAUAUCAGGAGGAACACCGAUGGCGAAGGCAGGUCUCUGGGCUGUAACUGACGCUGAGAAGCGAAAGCAUGGGGAGCGAACAGGAUUAGAUACCCUGGUAGUCCAUGCCGUAAACGUUGGGCACUAGGUGUGGGGGACAUUCCACGUUUUCCGCGCCGUAGCUAACGCAUUAAGUGCCCCGCCUGGGGAGUACGGCCGCAAGGCUAAAACUCAAAGAAAUUGAC